rnacentral:rRNA from 1 species
CCUACGGGUGGCAGCAGUGGGGAAUAUUGCACAAUGGGGGAAACCCUGAUGCAGCGACGCCGCGUGAGUGAAGAAGUAUUUCGGUACGUAAAGCUCUAUCAGCAGGGAAGAAAAUGACGGUACCUGACUACGAAGCCCCUGCUAACUACGUGCCAGCAGCCACGGUAAUACGUAGGGGGCAAGCGUUAACCGGAUUUACUGGGUGUAAAGGGAGCGUAGACGGCAGCGCAAGUCUGGAGUGAAAUCCCAUGGCUUAACCAUGGAACUGCUUUGGAAACUGUGCAGCUAGAGUGCAGGAGAGGUAAGCGGAAUUCCUAGGGUAGCGGUGAAAUGCGUAGAGAUUAGGAGGAACACCAGUGGCGAAGGCGGCUUACUGGACUGUAACUGACGUUGAGGCUCGAAAGCGUGGGGAGCAAACAGGAUUAGAUACCCUGGUAGUC